AGAAUCAACGCUGGCGGCGUGCCUAACACAUGCAAGUCGAACGAGAAAGGGGUAGCAAUACCCUGAGUAAAGUGGCGCACGGGUGAGUAACACGUGACUAACCUACCCUUGAGUGGGGGAUAACUGAGGGAAACCUUAGCUAAUACCGCAUAAUACCCACGGGUCAAAGGAGCAAUUCGCUCGAGGAGGGGGUCGCGGCCGAUUAGUUAGUUGGCGGGGUAAUGGCCCACCAAGACGAUGAUCGGUAUCCGGCCUGAGAGGGCGCACGGACACACUGGAACUGAAACACGGUCCAGACUCCUACGGGAGGCAGCAGUGGGGAAUUUUGCGCAAUGGGGGAAACCCUGACGCAGCAACGCCGCGUGGAGGAUGAAGUCCUUCGGGACGUAAACUCCUUUCGAUUCGGGACGAUUAUGACGGUACCGGAAGAAGAAGCCCCGGCUAACUUCGUGCCAGCAGCCGC
rnacentral:rRNA from 1 species